CAUAGUGUCUCCCUCUUCUUGUCUAUCUUUUCUUCCCCAGACUUCAUUGCCCAAUGAAAGUUCUUACUAUUACCCGGUAAUCUACGGAUCCUUUCUCCUUUACUCCUGAAGAUAACAACAACAUUUUCCUUCUCUCUUCCAUCUUAUCUCUUCUCCUCUCUUUGGCUGUCAAACCCUAGCGCGGUUGAAACUCACAGUGAAAUGGAAGACGAGUCAAACUCACAAAUGCAGAAACCCAUAGCCAUACAAAUCUUCGUCUUAUGCUUGUGUGGAGCAACCGUAAUACCGUAAACACCGUCAAGAUGCAAAUGCAGCAUUUGAGACCCUGUAGUUAGAGACCCUGUAAUAUUGUAGAUGGAAAUGCAGCAUUUCAAGCAAUUACUUCUUCAAUUCAAGAUGCAAAAUCAGAGGAAGCUAUAUUUUAGAACUCCUGUACCGAAUAAAUCUGAUACUCCAAUUAAGGAAAAAGGUUGAUGAUUUCGAAGAAGAGGAUUAUUGGGACCUAUCAGAUGUAGAUCUUCCUUAUACUUGAAAUUCAUAUGUGAAACCCCUUCUCCAUUUGAAACGGGUGCUUUCA